GACGAACGCUGGCGGCGUGCUUAACACAUGCAAGUCGAACGGAAAGGCCCCUUUGGGGGUACUCGAGUGGCGAACGGGGGAGUAACACGUGAGUAACCUGCCCUUGACUUCGGGAUAACUUCAGGAAACUGGGGCUAAUACCGGAUAGGAAUCCUUGCUGCAUGGUGGGGGUUGGAAAGCUUCGGCGGUUUUGGAUGGACUCGCGGCUUAUCAGCUUGUUGGUGGGGUAGUGGCUUACCAAGGCUUUGACGUGUAGCCGGCCUGAGAGGGCGACCGGCCACAUUGGGACUGAGAUACGGCCCAGACUCCUACGGGAGGCAGCAGUGGGGAAUCUUGCACAAUGGGCGGAAGCCUGAUGCAGCAACGCCGCGUGCGGGAUGACGGCCUUCGGGUUGUAAACCGCUUUCAGCAGGGGCGAAGCUUGUGGUGACGGUACCUGCAGAAGAAGCACCGGCUAACUACGUG
rnacentral:rRNA from 1 species